AAGUCGUAACAAGGUCUCCGUUGGUGAACCAGCGGAGGGAUCAUUACCGAGUUUACAACUCCCAAACCCCUGUGAACAUACCAAUUGUUGCCUCGGCGGAUCAGCCCGCUCCCGGUAAAACGGGCCGGCCCGCCAGAGGACCCCUAAACUCUGUUUCUAUAUGUAACUUCUGAGUAAAACCAUAAAUAAAUCAAAACUUUCAACAACGGAUCUCUUGGUUCUG
rnacentral:misc_RNA from 1 species